UACGUAGGGGGCUAGCGUUGUCCGGAUUUAUUGGGCGUAAAGAGCGUGUAGGCGGCCAAGUAGGUCUGGUGUGAAAACUCGAGGCUUAACCUCGAGAUGUCAUCGGAAACCAUCUGGCUAGAGUCCGGAAGAGGGUAGUGGAAUUCCCGGUGUAGUGGUGAAAUGCGUAGAUAUCGGGAGGAACACCAGUGGCGAAGGCGGCUACCU
rnacentral:rRNA from 1 species